rnacentral:rRNA from 1 species
GUGGGGAAUAUUGGACAAUGGGCGAAAGCCUGAUCCAGCCAUGCCGCGUGUGUGAAGAAGGUCUUCGGAUUGUAAAGCACUUUAAGUUGGGAGGAAGGGCAGUAAGUUAAUACCUUGCUGUUUUGACGUUACCAACAGAAUAAGCACCGGCUAACUUCGUGCCAGCAGCCGCGGUAAUACGAAGGGUGCAAGCGUUAAUCGGAAUUACUGGGCGUAAAGCGCGCGUAGGUGGUUCAGCAAGUUGAAGGUGAAAUCCCCGGGCUCAACCUGGGAACUGCCUCCAAAACUACUGAGCUAGAGUACGGUAGAGGGUAGUGGAAUUUCCUGUGUAGCGGUGAAAUGCGUAGAUAUAGGAAGGAACACCAGUGGCGAAGGCGACUACCUGGACUGAUACUGACACUGAGGUGCGAAAGCGUGGGGAGCAAACAGGAUUAGAUACCCCGGUAGUCC